rnacentral:rRNA from 2 species
AGCAUAGCGAUUUGGGAUAAGUCCCUUGGAAGAGGGCAGCAUGGAGGGUGAUACUCCCGUCUCUGCUCAGGUUGUCUGUGUGUACGAUACGCUUUCUUUGAGUCGAGUUGUUUGGGAAUACAGCUCAAAGCAGGUGGUAAAUUCCAUCUAAAGCUAAUAUUGGUGCGAGACCGAUAGCGAACAAGUACCGUGAGGGAAAGAUGAAAAGAACUUUGAAAAGAGAGUUAAAGAGUACCUGAAACUGUUGAAAGGGAACCGUAUCGUUUCUAGUGUGUAUCCUAUGCAUAUUUCAUUGGCGGUUGUAAAAUUGCUGGUGCCCUGUGUAUGGGUGUGACGUCAGAGUCAGUUUGAAUUGCGGGAGAUGGGUAGUGAGGAGGUGCGUCACUUUUUGUGAAAGUUACAGCUCGCUAUCUAGUAGCCGUGGUUGAGACUGAGGUGCC